ACAACACUUUCCUUUAGAAAUGGUACAGGAGCCAAAUAUCAAAAGAUUAUCAUUGUCUGUCUAUAAAAAAAUCCAGCCAUCAAUAUUUUGAACAAAAAAUAUUGUUAUAUUGAGCAACUGCAAAUUCUGACAUCACAAAACUGCGACAGAUUCAACAAAUAAAUCAUUUUUUCUGGUCUAAAACAUCUAACAAAUCGAGUGUUUAGAAUGAUGAUGAUCAGUUAUAUCGAAAAUUCGACUUAAAAUGCAAACAACAUGUAAUAUAAAGAACUUUCUUAUUCUCUAUGCAUACAUUGAAAAAAUAGCAUUUGAAUUCCAGUCACGUUUUAAAAUACCCAUCUAUGUCAAAGGAAGAAUUUGGUUAAUAAAUUAGAUAAUUUUUCAC
rnacentral:sRNA from 1 species